UCCUCCAAACGAUCGUCAAAUAACUAAUAUAUUUUUUAUUUUUUCUUAUAGGCAUCUGUAUUGUGACUUUUGUAGUAAAUUUAUUCAUAAAAUGAACUUGAAACUUUUGUUUCACCUGCAUUUCUGUGCUUUGUUGGCUUUAUGUUUGCAUCAUUCGAGUUUAGUCACGUACGAUCCUUGCAUCGAGGAAUUUUACGAAGAUAUUCGUAGGUUGGGUGUUGACUUCGCUUUGAGAGUCCUUAAAAGUUAGCUGUCCAAAAGUUUUUCUAGGUUAGGCUUGGUAUGAUGCCAAAGUCAGUUGGUCGAGGAUCCUUGUAAGUUAGCCCUCGUUCGUUGUCGAAGCAGAUAGGCUAAGGAUCCUUAUAGGUUAACCCUCCGAAAGUCUUUUUAUGUUAGCCUCCACUUUUCGUAUGACUAAGGUCUUCAUAAAUGUUGGUUCGUCGAAAAGCAAGCGACCUUCGAGGGUCCUUGUAGGUUAUCCCUCACUUCUUAGUCACCGAGGUCUUCUGCCCAUAUAGGUUAGAUCGAUGAAUGUUGGGGGUCCUUAUAGAUUAGCCUCCACUUCUCAUAUGAUUAAGAUCUUCAUGGAUCGUUGGCUCGCUGAAAAGCGAGCGGUCUUUGGGGGUUCUUAUAUAUUAGCUCCCACUUCUUAAGCACCGAGGUCUUCAUAGUUGAUGACUUAUAUCGAUGGACUUCGAGGGUCCUUUUAGGUUUGCCCUCAUUUCUUGCAUGACCAGAAGUUCCUACUGGCCUUGUCUCGGGACAAGUGGCAUUCAUCACUCAA
rnacentral:lncRNA from 1 species